rnacentral:lncRNA from 1 species
AUGAAGAAAGUUGAGAAAGCCAUUGAAGAUUAUCCAAAUGAAGAUCUUCAUUAAAGGACAAGUCUAGAUACUUGAGGCUAGAGAAGUUAGCAUGUGUAUCGGAGGGUGUGACUAGUGAUUGGUUGAGGGUGCUUGGAAGACUUAGACCUGUAAAGGCAUUCAAGCUCAAGUCCAAGUAAGUUAAAAAUUCAAUUUGAAGCAGAGAUAGGUUGAUUUCACCUUCCAGGUUUUCUUGGUUCAGAUCAAGCCUUGUAACUCUGCCUGUCAUGUUAUCACAUUGGACUCCUUUCCAUGCACAACAAUCUUCUUCAUUGGACCAAGAGGAGAGCAUGUUGGAACGGUCUACCACACCGCGUUUGAAGAUUAGCAGUGCAGAUUGAUCCUUUGCAUUGCAACUUGUGCUACAAAUGCCUUUGUGGAAUGUCAUUGCAUAUAGCAAAAGUAGCAAAACAACUGAAAUUUGUAAUGUGAAGCAAACCAUGGUUGAUUGAUUAAUUUGGGGGCUUUUCUAUGGGUCGUUGCUGGUGAGUGGUGAUUCUCACUCAAUAUAUUAGCGCCUAUAUAUAACGUUCAGCCUACAAGUCUUAUGAAGUCAUCUUUUCUUUAGCUUUCAUUAUUUUUUUCAUUUAUUUUUUCUAAAACAACAUACCCUACCUAGUUGACUAUGAAGUCAUCUUCUAUUUAACUUUCAUUAUCUCUUUCAUUUAUUUUUUCUAAAACAACUACCUAAAGGAUCAAAUUAAAAAUUAGAGGACCAAAUUAAAAAAAAAUUAAAGGAUGAAAUUGAAUUAAAAAAUAAAUUAGAGAAAUAAAAAAUUAAUUUAACCUUUUUUUAUAAUUUUUAAUGCAUCAAUUCUAGCUUUAGGCAGUGACAUUUCCAAACUUACCUACCACCUUUAUUUGAGUUUGUGUAUAAUGUACUAUCAAUUGCUGUGGCUGUGGAUACUAGAAAUUUUCUAAUCAUGCAUAAUCUACAAGUUGCAACUUAGUUGUCCACUUUUUUUUCAAGUUGUCAAGUUGUCAUCUUUUCUUUAACUUUCAUUAUUUCUUCCAUUUAUUUUUUCUAAAACAAUGUAUCCUACCUAGUUGACUAUGAAGUCAUCUUCUAUUUAGCUUUCAUUAUCUCUUCCAUUUAUUUUUUCUAAAGCAACCCUACCUAGUUGACUAUGAAGUCAUCUUCUAUUUAGCUUUCAUUAUCUCUUCGAUUUAUUUUUUCUAAAACAACUGAAUCCUACGUCUAAUUCUAUAUAUGUGUGACUUGGAUGAACUUUGAAACCUGCGUGAGGUGUAUCAUGUAUGAAUAGUGAUACAGCCUUGUGACAGAUACCAAUUAAUGACUUUUACUUUAAUUUCAAGCAAUAAAUUAAUUAUUCAAGUAUAUCACAUAAUCAUAGGCAGAAUAUUUAACAUAAGUAAUUUUCUAAAAAGACAUUUUAUGUAUAGCUUUUUUAAUAAGUUAUUCAAGUAAAAAUCUAUAAUUCUUUUUAGGAAUUGUAUUCUGAUAAUUUUUUUUUAGGACUUGUAUUAUGAUAGGGAAAUAUCUGUUCAUGAAAAAAAUAUAUGCAGUUAAAUGGGGGAAAAUUUAUGCAAUGUUAAAACGGUAUACAAUGAUGUGCAGAAACCAAUGUUGUAUUCUCUUUAAGAGAGUUGGAACAAUCGAUGUGAAAGGAGACCAAACAAAUAUGAAAGCAAGGAAGAAUGUUGAAACAAUCAGUGUGAAAGGAGACCAAAAAUAUAUGAAAGAAAGGAAGGAUGACUUUUAUUAAAUUCCAUGUAGAAAAUAGUACAUUGUGGACUAGUUUAAAUUGACUGGUUGUAACGACCCAUUAUGGUUUUUUAUGAUUACUUCUGUGUUUAAUUAAUUAAUAAUUUAAUAAUUCACUAAACGUUUUUUUCCUGCAAUGAAUUACUUUUUUUGUUUGAUUAAAAUGUAUGUUAAAAAAUAUUAUUUUAUAUAUUUUUUGGCAUUUGAAAGACAAAAAAAGCUGGUUAAAAAGGUGAGAUAAUUGGUCCGACCAGCACCAUAUUUUGCACUUGAUCACUUGAUCACUUGAUUAUGAUCACUUAUUGAAGUAGACUAGCAUAGUACAGCAUCAGCGAGGAACAAUGGUGGGAAUGACAUCACUGACAAGAUCACUUCCUGAAACAUAUGAGGACAUGUGUUGCUCCUCCCUUGUCACAUUUGAUGCUGAUGUUGAUGCAAAUGAUGGGGGUGCUAUGUUACCAGAACUGUCUAAGCUAACAAUAUCUGAUAAAAGAGUUUCAGGUUCAGGCAACAUUGCAAUGAUAUCUUCCAGUUCCCUCACGACAUCUAGCAUUGAUGGCCUCUCCUCUGGAUUGUCUUGGCAACAUCUGAGGGCCAGAGUUAAAAACUUGUCCAAGCAAUCGGAUGGAUAUAACCCCAUUCUGCUGUCUAUGAUGGAAUAUAUUGUGCCAGAUUGACGAGCCGUAUUAACCUGACAUAAUAAAAUUGUGUAACAUUGUUAAUGAUAGCUUGUUUAUUGAAUUUAAUUAGAAUACGCUAACAGUAUAAGGAUUUUUUACGCCGUCAUCCAAUCAUGAGUUGUCAUGUAUAUAUGAUAAUUGAUUGACAGUGUAAAAAAAUCUUUACAUCAACAAUCAUCAAAGUUUAAUACUUGUUUAUUUAGUGUUUCUUUGUUAAUUUUAAGUGAAGCAAUUUAUUUAAGAGAAAGUUGAACUGAUUUUAGUUGUAUGAUUCUUUUUUUUAAGUUAGCUGUCAUCCUUCUUCAUUCUAUUUUUUAGUUACAUCUAAAGGUUGAGCUUUAAACGUAUUAAUAAAACAUUAUUUUCUAUUAGUUUUUUUAAAAUAAAAAAUGUUAUAUAUCACUGUUACAUCAUAGUCACCACUAUAAAGUUUACUUUCCUUAUGGGAAGUGCAGACAAAAUAUAGCUAUGUCCCUAAUAAACUUUCUAUGUUUACUAUCUGUCCGGUAAGCUUUUCAAAUUCAAAUCUUUUGAAAUACUCCACAAAAACACAACAUAAUAUUGUUGUCAGUGUCAAGUGUACAGCUAAUAUGGCAAAAUCUAUGUCUAAACUCAGAUUGUAUUUGGUUUCCAAAGAUAAGCUUUCUUGAAUAUAUUGGUGAUAAGCUCAUCUUAUAUGUGAGCUUAACAGCACAGACAUGCAAAACCAGAUCAACAGAAAUAACCAACUUAAGAAAAAGCUUAAACAGUCUAAAGAAGACAAACAGCAUGCAUAUUAGCUCAGAGACUAAGGGAUCUGACUUGACAGUUAGAUGAUACUUAUGCUAUGGCAUUAUUUAAUCGUUAUGCAUAUUCAUGCAGAACAAAUUAUUUUCUCAUUUAUAUUUGAAUUCUUAAAUAAAAUUGGUUGCAAGAUGAUAUAGAAAACGUAAGUGUAUCUAUAAACUAGAUAUCUGCUCCCAUUCUUCAUUAGAUUAUCCAAUCAGUGAGACAUGAUUUCGAUGAUGUAAACUUGAUUAAAGCCCAACCUUAGUCAAAAUCUCGUCUUGUCCUUCUAAGGAAGCUUCGACUGUUCGUUUAAUGGCCUCAAAAGUUUCAUCAGAUAAAAUGCUUUCAUAGAUAUUGCCAUAACCUCCUGGCUUUAGUUAAGAUUUUAAAUAUGUUAGUAAGAUAGCAACCUUACCAUUACAGCAGAACUCUCUCAAAUAAUAUUUAUUAUUGUUUUUUUUAUUAAUAUUCAAAUCAAGUAACCUUUUAUGUUUGUCCAUUUUAAUAAUUUUAUUAGACAAAAACACUUCAACAUAUAAUUACAAUUUACAAUUAAAUGACGCAAAUCACUUAUCAUUUAAAUAAGCACAUAAGUAGAUGACUAGAUCAGCAUCCAAAACACAAAAUGAGUUAUACAAAAGUUGCUUCUGACAUUACCACUUUUCCAAGAAGCUCUUCUCUUAUUUUAAUUAGUACUUUCUAAAAUGCUCAUCCAAACAGUCUUUUACUUCAUCUAGAACUUGCCCUUAAUCCACCAAACUUAUUUAUCUUGAGAGCUACAAACACAUAAAUCCAGUCUAGAAUACUUUCUAAAAUGCUCAUCCAAACAGUCUUUUACUUCAUCUAGAACUUGCCCUUAAUUCACCAAACUUAUUUAUCUUGAGAGCUACAAACACAUAAAUCCAGUCUAGAAUACGAUCCAGCAACCGAAAAUACUUGUGUCUCCAUGCUCUAUUGAGGACCAAAGAACCCCAAAGUCCCCAUAAGCCGACAACAAAGCCAACUCCCAUUCCAAGAUAGAGUGACGUAUUUUGAGACUCGUUUGCUCCUCCUUGCUUUGCCUUGUCAUAAUUUUCUUCCUUAGAGCAAUUCUUUGUUAAGGGAAGUCCACAAAGUUUGGGAUUCCCAGCAUAGCUCCAUGCCUCAAAACUCUGAAGCUGAGUCCCUAAUGGUAUUUGUCCAGUGAAAUCAUUGUAUGACAGGUUGAGAAAACUUAGGAAAGAAAGAUUAGAGAUGGCUGCAGGAAUUUCCCCUGAAAGAUGAUUGUUGGAGAGAUCAAGGGACUCCAAAUUUUUCAUGCCACCAAUCUUGCUUGGUAUCUUUCCCAUUAAAUUAUUUCUAGACAAGUUCAAGAACAACACUUCAGUGAGGCUAAAAAGUUCAGGCGGGAUUUCUCCGGACAGGUUGUUUGUUGAAAAGUCAAGAUUUUUCAACAGUCCAGUGUCUUCAUACCGCAACUCUCGACCUUUCCAAAACAAAUCGAGGCUGAACUGAAAAUGACUCGCAGCUCUUGCACCAUCCAUCCGAGUAAUGUUGUAGACACAAGGAGGAAUAGAUCCAGAAAGUUUGUUUUGCGAAAGAUCAAGUUGUGAUAGAGAAGGGAGACUGCAUGUUUCUGGUGGAAUCUUGCCAGCAAAUUGGUUGGACCUCAAUAUCAUCACUUGCAUGCUCUUUGGCAUCUUUGUUGGUAGAACUCCAGAAAAAUUAUUCUCUCCAAGAUUGAUGAAUACCAAUGAUGUAAAGUUUGACAUGUCUAGUGAAAACUUACCAAACAAGUUGUUCUUCUGCAGAUCCAUUUCAAUGAGUCCAUCUAACAAACCCAUUGAUGGGGGGAUUUCACCACCUAGCUUAUUGCUGUUUAGGAAAAGGAAAAGUAAACCUCUCCAAUUCUCCCAACAAUCAGGAACUACUCCAGUCAAAAGAUUAUAUGAUAAAUCCAUGUAACUCAACAAACUUUUUUCCCUACCCAAUUUAGGACACAAUGAAGGGGAAAUUGGUCCAGACAAGGAAUUGCUAGAUAUAUCAAAGAUGGAGACAUUUGUUGAUAUACGUGGGAUCCCUCCUGUGAAAUUAUUGUGAGACAUAAAUAUGUAACCAGAAUUUAGAGUGACAUUUGUUAAGUCAGCACUAAUUGCAUUGUGGGACAAGAGAAUUGCUCCAAUAUUGGAUACAAAGCUCCAAAACCUGUCUGCAUUUAUGGAUGAAAUUCCGGAGUAAGAAAUAUCUAGAAUAUCUAGUGUCCUCUGUGUGUAUAGCCAUUCUGGAAUUGUAGGACCUAGAGUUGUAUUUCUCAAGCUAAUUUCAUGAAGCUGAAAAGGAGGAAUCCAGUUGGGAUCCAAAUCAAAUGCAAAAUUUGAAUUCAAGGCAAGUGAUUCUAAAUUGAAGAGUUUGGAAAAAUGCUUUUCAGAUAGAACACCAGACAAGGAACCUCCAAUGUAUAGUCUCCUCAAGUUAAAGAGUUGGCCAAUGGUGUUUGGAAGAUUACCACUCAACAAAUCGGAGCUAACAGUUAAUUGGUUCAAGGAUGUGAGAUUUCCUAGACUUGAAGGAAUGGAACCGGAAAACAUGUUCUCAAUCAGACCAAGAUGCUGCAGAUGUUGAUGUUCCCCCAACCAAUCUGGAAUAGGUCCAGUAAAUUCAUUGUUAUCCAAUCCUAAAUAUUUAAGAUUUUGAAGAUUUAACAAACUCUUGGGUAUUUGACCCUGAAUAGUAUUGAAGCUAAGGUCAAUAUGGGAGAUGUCAUUGCUAAGAUUAAAAAUCCAAUAAGGUAAUUCAGAGUCAAAAUAGUUCCCAGACAGGUCAAGAGUCACAAGUGAAGUAAAAUUCACAAACUUGACAGAAGGGCUGAUAUUUUUUAGAUGACAACUUGCCAAUCUCAACUCCAAAAGAGAAGGAUGCAUGGCCAUAGUUUGAAGCCAGUUUGUUUCAUUUUCAAGACUAAUUAAACUGAGAUUGAGGUAUUUCAAUGAAGAAAGUUGAGAAAGCCAUUGAAGAUUAUCCAAAUGAAGAUCUUCAUUAAAGGACAAGUCUAGAUACUUGAGGCUAGAGAAGUUAGCAUGUGUAUCGGAGGGUGUGACUAGUGAUUGGUUGAGGGUGCUUGGAAGACUUAGACCUGUAAAGGCAUUCAAGCUCAAGUCCAAGUAAGUUAAAAAUUCAAUUUGAAGCAGAGAUAGGUUGAUUUCACCUUCCAGGUUUUCUUGGUUCAGAUCAAGCCUUGUAACUCUGCCUGUCAUGUUAUCACAUUGGACUCCUUUCCAUGCACAACAAUCUUCUUCAUUGGACCAAGAGGAGAGCAUGUUGGAACGGUCUACCAC